GUAAAGUGAUAUUCAGUAUUUUCUAAAAUAAGUUAUUUACAAUCUUUUUAAUGAAAAAAAUCAAUAGUUGUACAUUGAACAAAACACCUAUCAUUUUCAGCCAGAAAGUUACACUCCAAAGUAUUUUUUUUAUUGUAUUUCAUGACCAUAUUAUAAAAGAGACUAUGUUUUUUCCAAAAUCAGUGUUCAAGUGGCAUUUAUUUAUUUAUUUAUUAUUUCUAUUUUUUGUUCAUAAAGUAAUUGAUUCAUAAAACAUCAGGUAAUAUAUCAAAGUUAUCUACAAUAUAGAUUCGUUUAUUUCUAUAAUUUAAUGAAAAGUGCCUUUUUUUUUUGUGUGACAUAUCACGAGGAAUAUUUUGGUACAGCUAUUUUAAGUUGCAAAAACGUUUCAAUAAGUGUAGACUAAUUUAAUACCUUACAGUAAUUAUUUUACAAUUUUAUCCAUAAUUAGUAUAUUUUUAUGGCUUUGAAUUUAGAAGAAAUUAUGGCUCAUGCCUUCCUUCACUCAUAGAUGAUGUUUUAAAAUCAAUAUCACCAAAUAGCAAGAAUUUGAUUAAAAAAAAAACAAUAAUUCCAAAUAAUUACACUUCAUGUCAUGGUUUGAUUGCAUCUUAUAUUGUGCUUGAUAAAAAGCAUGUCAUUCAUUCAUUAAUUCAUUUAUUAAUCCAAGCCAAGUCUUGACCGCAGGUGACACACAUCCAUGGUGCAUUAAGAAUAAGUGCUGUUGAAUAAAUGUUGAGCAGGUAACAGUUAAUGCAUCUUUCAAAGUGCAUUAAGAAUAAAUUGAUGUUGAACUUUUCACGUGCAUGUCAAUUUCAUUAUUGCACAAGUAUGUUGAAAAUUUCAACACAGUUUUUCUAACCUUACAUCAUAUUGGAUAAUUUUUGAAACUCAAAUUCUUUAUGUUUGUCAAUAUUUAAAAAUCAAAUAUUGUGGUUAGUUUUUAUGAGUGUUGUUCUUUCAUAUUCUAAAGGAGAAUUAAUUAGAUUUAAUAUGUUUUUUUAUUACAAUUUGUUUUACAUUCAAAAACAUAUGAAAAUAUAAUGUAGUUUGGAAUUUUAUAAUUUAUAUUAUUUCUUUCUGCCCUUUCAAAGGUUGAAAUUUCUAUUUCAAUAAUAUAAAUACUGUUUUAAAUUUAAAAGUAAAGCUACAAUAUUAUUAAAAAAAUUAAUUAUAAGGAUUUUAAGCACCAUUGAUUAGUCAAAUAAGAAGUUUAUUAUAUUGGAUUUUUUGAUAUUUUAUUUUAUUAUAUUUUAUUUUUUAAAUUUAUACACAUACAUUUAUUUUUUCAAAUCAACACAGUUCGAUUGAUAGUGGUAUUUCAAGUUAAAAGACAUGCACGGUAUACAAAAAAUUUCAUCAACAUAUAUAUUGUAUUUUUUAGAUUUUUUUUUUUAUAAACCAUUUUUUUAGAAAACUAUUGAUGAAAUCAUAACAACAUCAAAAAUUAAAUAACUAAUUAAGAAAUGAAAUGUUCAAUUAAAAAUAAUUUCCAGGAUUGACUGGCAUAGAAUUCACAUGAUGUUUUCAAAUUCUUUAUUUUGUUAUCUGAAAGUACAUCACCUAAAACUGAGUUUACAGCUAAAUGAAGAAGACCUACUCUUUUACAAUAUAAAAUUUCAAAAUCUUACAUGACCACGAUCUAGUUAAUGACCAUUACAAAAUAUUUAUUGUGCUCCAUUUACAAAGUUGUUAAGUCAUGUAUUU
rnacentral:lncRNA from 1 species